rnacentral:ncRNA from 1 species
ACUAAGACGUUGAAAAGGAUUAGUAACAGAUCGCCGCUGAUAGAAGAGAGUCUGCAUUUGGUGAAAGCAGACCGGCAGCACUGUGAACUCACCUUUGAGUCGAUUAUGCGAAGCAGAUUAGCAUAAUCCGUUUUCCGCGAUAAGGACUUGAGCGCGUGUACACGAAUUUGGGUGGUACCGCGGGAGUGUAUAAGCACCUCCCGUCCCAUGA